GAUGAACGCUGGCUACAGGCUUAACACAUGCAAGUCGAGGGGAAACGGCAUUGAGUGCUUGCACUGAAUGGACGUCGACCGGCGCACGGGUGAGUAACGGCGUAUCCAACCUUCCCGUUACUGCGGGAUAACCUGCCGAAAGGCAGACUAAUACCGCAUGUUCUUCGAUGACGGCAUCAGAUUCGAAGCAAAGAUCCGUCGGUAACGGAGGGGGAUGCGUCUGAUUAGCUAGUUGGCGGGGCGACGGCCCACCAAGGCGACGAUCAGUAGGGGUUCUGAGAGGAAGGUCCCCCACAUUGGAACUGAGACACGGUCCAAACUCCUACGGGAGGCAGCAGUGAGGAAUAUUGGUCAAUGGGCGGAAGCCUGAACCAGCCAAGCAGCGUGCAGGAGGACGGCCCUACGGGUUGUAAACUGCUUUUAUGCGGGGAUAAAGUGAGGGACGUGUCCCUUUUUGCAGGUACCGCAAAUAAGGACGGCUAU
rnacentral:rRNA from 1 species